UAUAGAGGGUGCGAGCGUUAAUCGGAAUUACUGGGCGUAAAGCGUGCGUAGACGGCUAUCUAAGUCGCGUGUGAAAGCCCCCGGCUCAACUGGGGAGGGUCACGCGAUACUGAUCGACUCGAAGGCAGGAGAGGGUAGUGGAAUUCCCGGUGUAGUGGUGAAAUGCGUAGAUAUCGGGAGGAACACCAGUGGCGAAGGCGACUACCUGGCCUGUUUCUUGACGCUGAGGCGCGAAAGCUAGGGGAGCAAACGGG
rnacentral:rRNA from 1 species